UUGUUUUUCUUGCCUAAGAACAACAACCCACCUCUCUUUAGAGUCGCGGACAUUAACGAUUUGAGGUCCAACGGUCUUUACGAGGAGGUCAGCAGCAGCGUCAUGACCGUUAACGCUGCAGCAGGGAGAAGGAUUAUGCGGCCCAGUGGGUGGGCGUGUAGCCACUGUGGUCCAGCAUGGAGUCCAGAGGGUCAGCUUUCACCGCAGCUUUGAGUAAACUGUGCAGUAAGCCAAUGUGUCCACAGGAGGCUGCGAGGUGCAGUGGCGUUCUUCCCUGAGAGUCUCGGCACAGAGCAGAGGCUCCGUGUUCCAGCAGAGCAGAGACACAGUCUUCACUGUCCAACAUGGCCUGAAAGGAGGAGACCAGAAGGAUGUGAACACAGUCAGUGUGACGCCCCAGAGCUGCCAGCAUAAGAGCCGUCCUGCACACACACGAAACAACAACAGACAGUCGAUGACGUCAGCACUUUGUUCCUUAUUCACCAGCAGAAGCACACAAUCCAUUUGGCCUUCGGCUGCUGCUCAUGAAGACGGGAACACAAAGUUAUGUUACUACGAGUGAACCUAAGCAGCUAACUGUACCA